rnacentral:rRNA from 1 species
ACGAACGUUGGCGGCGUGGAUUAGGCAUGCAAGUCGAACGAAGACGGGGUAGCAAUAUCCCGGACUGAGUGGCGAAAGGGGCAGUAAAGCGUGGGUAACCUACCUCUGGGACGGGGAUAGCCUUCCUAACGGGAGGGUAAUACCCGGCGACGUAGCGAAGGGGCAUCUCUUUGCUACCAAAUGAAUUUCGCCCGGAGAGGGGCUCACGUGCUAUUAGCUUGUUGGCGGGGUAACGGCCCACCAAGGCUAAGAUGGCUAGCAGGUGUGAGAGCACGACCUGCGCCACUGGUACUGAGACACUGGCCAGACUCCUACGGGAGGCUGCAGUCGAGGAUCUUUGGCAAUGGGCGCAAGCCUGACCAAGCGACGCCGCGUGCGCGAUGAAGGCCUUCGGGUUGUAAAGCGCUGUCGAGGGGGAGGAAGCCGCAAGGUUGACCUAUCCCUGGAGGAAGGACGGGCUAAGUUCGU